AAGAAAAAAGGCAGGGCAUGGUGGCUCACACCUGUAAUGCCAGCACUUUGGGAAGCCGAGGCGGGUAGAUCACCUGAGGUCAGGAGUUCGAGAUCAGCCUAGCCAACAUGGUAAAACCCCAUCUCUACUAAAAAUACAAAAAAUUGGCCAAGUGUGGUGGUGUGUGCUUGUGAUCCCAGCUACUCAGGAGGCUGAGGCAGGAGAAUCACUUGAACCCGGAAGAUGGAGAUCAUGCCACUGCACUCCAGCCUGGGCAACAAGAGUGAAACUCUUGUCUAAAAAAAAAAAAAUUUUUUU
rnacentral:lncRNA from 1 species